rnacentral:rRNA from 1 species
AACGAACGCUGGCGGCAGGCCUAACACAUGCAAGUCGAACGGAUCCUUCGGGAUUAGUGGCGCACGGGUGAGUAACGCGUGGGAACGUGCCCUUAGGUACGGAACAACAGUUGGAAACGACUGCUAAUACCGUAUAAUAUCGAGAGAUCAAAGAUUUAUCGCCUAAGGAUCGGCCCGCGUUAGAUUAGAUAGUUGGUGGGGUAAAGGCCUACCAAGUCUACGAUCUAUAGCUGGUCUUAGAGGAUGACCAGCCACACUGGAACUGAGACACGGUCCAGACUCCUACGGGAGGCAGCAGUGAGGAAUAUUGGACAAUGGGCGAAAGCCUGAUCCAGCCAUGCCGCGUGAAUGAUGAAGGCCUUAGGGUUGUAAAGUUCUUUUAGCUGUGAAGGUGAUGACUGUAGCAGCAGAAAAAGCCCCGGCUAACUCCGUGCCAGCAGCCGCCGUAA